rnacentral:rRNA from 1 species
GGGAGGUAGUGACAAUAAAUAACAAUACGGGGUUCUUUCGGAUCUCGUAAUUGGAAUGAGUACAAUUUAAAUCUCUUAACGAGGAACAAUUGGAGGGCAAGUCUGGUGCCAGCAGCCGCGGUAACUCCAGCUCCAAUAGCGUAUAUUAAAGUUGUUGCAGUUAAAAAGCUCGUAGUUGAAUUUCGGGAUCAAUACGUUGGUCGUGCUUUUUUGGUACGCACUGGCGUCAUUGGUUUCUCCUUUCUGACGAACCAUGAUGUCAUUAAUUUGGUGUUAUGGGGAGUUAGGACUGUUACUUUGAAAAAUUAGAGUGUUUAAAGCAGGCAUUAGCUUGAAUACAUUAGCAUGGAAUAAUGAAAUAGGACGUUCGAUCCUAUUUUGUUGGUUUCUAGGAUCAACGUAAUGAUUAAUAGGGAUAGUUGGG